AGAAGAGACUUCAGUGCUUUUAUGUAAAAAGAGAAAUGAACUGAAAAGCAAGAAAUCCAUGGGUAAGAACAUGGAAGUAUGUUAAGUAUUUGAGAAGAAUCACUGAAGAGAUUGAUGUGCAGUAUGCUACAGGGGUUUAUUAGAUGUACGUAAUACUAGGCUAAUCUGAUUUAUUUUUUGUGGGCUUUUUUCUAUACAAAGUAAACACAUCUGCUCUUAUCUAGCCAGACUUCAGUAAAUUAUUUCAGAUGUGAUGCUGUGUUCAUUACUAGUUCUAUGUAGAUAGAUCAGUAUUGUGUAGAUCUGUAGAAAACACAAAAUUGUAUAGAAUGUGGCUCAAUGGUCAGGAAAUGGGGUAGUGUUGGAACAAGAAUCAUUGGGUAGUAGAACUGGUGUUUCUCCUCAAAAAUUAAUCUUAAGAGUGAUUUAAUAAUUUUUUUCUUUUUAAUGAUCCUAGUCCUGGAACAGAAAGAGCUGAUGACACAAACACAAAAGUCAGUGAAGAGUCAGAAGAAUCUGCGGAUGAAGUUGGAGGACAGACAAUGAUUUUGGACACAUCAGGACUUAACUGUGUUGUGAGCAGGCCUCAGCUGUGCAGGUCUUGGAAUGCCAAGAGCAACUGGAAGGACUUGUACUGCAGUGCUGCAAGACUUGGCUGGGUGCUUGCCUUGGUGAAAAACAGCAAUGGUGGCCCUGAAGCAGACAAGGCCUAAGCAUGAGUGUUUCUGAUGCUAUGGAUAUUUUUUUGUGAAUGCACCAAUUAGCUCAUCUGUGGCUAACAUAAGGGUUUGUGAGGGAAUGUUCCCAUGUGUAGUAAACACCACAAAUGCUGGAUUGGAAAUGUCAGCCUCUUUAAAAUACAAACAGGACAGGAUUCUCAGAUUAAAGGGCAUUUACUGGCCUGCCACUUAAAAGGGAGAGAAGAAAGUACCUGUAAGUAGCUACAAAAAGGUGCAAAUGGGCUGAGCGGGAGUGGGAGCAUAACAGUUUUAACAGAUAAAAUUUCAUAGCUUCUGAUCAAUUUGUGUCAAAGAAUAUACUUUCUCUCAUUUUAAUAUGAACACUAAGAUAUUGUAGAACUGGUGAAUUAUCACAUUUAAGGAGCAGUCUUAUUUUUUCCAUCAAGUGGGGAAAAAAUGAGAACAUAGAGGUAGCUUACUUGGUACAGCAGCAGCUUCAGUACUGCAACUCAUGCCACUGAGUUUAGCUUGCCCGUAAUUUGGGAGGAAUAGGGCAGUUCACUAGAUUCUUUUCUUCAAGACAGGAAUUCUGCAGAGGAAAAUCACAGAAUCACAGAACUGUAGGGGUUGGAAGGGACCUCCAGAGAUCAUUGAGUCCAACUUCCCUGCCAAAGCAGGCUCCUUAAAUGAGGUUGCACAGGGCAUUAUUUUAUGCUGUCUCCUCUUUCCACCAUGAAAAGAUUGUCUUUAGAGAAAUAUUUAUCUUUGAUCAUUGUAAAAUAUUUCUAAACUAGUGAUAUGGUAGAGUGAGACUCUGACCUGAACACAGAAUCACAGUUUAUAUCCUAAAUCACCCAUUUAGAGACUUUUGAGAGAUAAAUAAUUAUAGGUGUUAGCUACCUAAAACUUUGGGAUCUGAGUUUCAGUUCUUUUCAUCAGUGCACUGACUCUUUAUAGUUUUCUAGUUUAUUAAGAAAUACAAGCCUUACAAUACAUUUUAGAAAACUACUUUGUUGCUUAAGUAGUAGAUUAGAACAACACUGAAGAGCCAUGCUGUUCUAUUGCGUAUAGAAAAGCAUUCGUGAACCUAUAUAAAACCAGAGGAUGAUCUACUUUGGUACAUACAACAUAUGGCAUUGAACUACUACAUUUGAACUGUUACAGCUAUGUUACUGAGUUCCUGAAAUUGUUUCCACCUUGUGGCAAAUGAGGAACAUACAAGAUUCCAAACAUCGCUCAAUGCCAGAUUCAGUUAUGUCUUCUGUGAAAUGUGUCCCUCUUACUCAUCGAUUGUGCUUUACACUUCCAUUUGUACUAGUGAAUACAUGAGCCUUGUUUGGUAGACUCUUGCAUAGAUGAACCAAGAAAAUAUUGUUUACAUUAAGAAUGAUCAAAGUAAACUGACCAAUCACAUCUGUGGUUGCUAAGUCUUUUCACGAAUCCAGUUGAACCCAUUCAAUACCUUUUGAGCUGAAGUGUGGGUUUGGAUGUUUGUUUUCUGUAGUUCUUGUUCUCUUUUGUGCUUUUUAAAUCAUUAUUUAUUUUUUUUUAAGUGGACCAGAAUAGAUAAAUGUUGAUGUUUCUUCCUCCUGUCUUUUUGGAAGAUAGCUGUAAUAUUUGCUUCCCCUCCCUCCAGUAACUGGAGACCUUUUUCAACUGCCACAACUCCUCAAAAAUGACAGUGACCUUGCCAGCACUUGCUUCUUCAGGACUCUUACGUUCAUUAGUAACAAAGCAAUGAGAAGAAUACCUGUCAGAUUUUGGCUGCCUCUAAGCUUCCUAAACACAUGGGAGCAAGAGAAUGUUCUAUCAGCGGUGCUCGUUCCACAACUGUGAUGUAAAUAAAUCCCAGGUGUUGUGAUGUUACAUAUUUGACCACACAGCAGCUAACACUUUCCUGUGAUGUGCAUCUUCAUAUUUGUAGGAGCUUCCUACCUAUAAGAGGUAAGGACAUUCUGUGUUCAUUUCAGAUACAACAUUUUUACAGAGGAAAUGUACUUGCUGUUCCUUUUCAUAAGAAUGUUAUGCCUGUUUUCUUAUUUUUUAUAAAUUUCUUUUAU